rnacentral:rRNA from 1 species
AAUGGGCGCAAGCCUGAUCUAGCCAUGCCGCGUGAGUGAUGAAGGCCUUAGGGUCGUAAAGCUCUUUCGCCAGGGAUGAUAAUGACAGUACCUGGUAAAGAAACCCCGGCUAACUCCGUGCCAGCAGCCGCGGUAAUACGGAGGGGGUUAGCGUUGUUCGGAAUUACUGGGCGUAAAGCGUACGUAGGCGGAUUAGGAAGUUAGGGGUGAAAUCCCGGGGCUCAACCCCGGAACUGCCUCUAAAACUACUAGUCUAGAGUUCGAGAGAGGUGAGUGGAACUCCGAGUGUAGAGGUGAAAUUCGUAGAUAUUCGGAAGAACACCAGUGGCGAAGGCGGCUCACUGGCUCGAUACUGACGCUGAGGUACGAAAGUGUGGGGAGCAAACAGGAUU